CUCGUAGGUGGCCAACUAAGUCGGACGUGAAAUCCCUCAGCUUAACUGGGGAACUGCGUCCGAUACUGGAUGGCUUGAGUUCGGGAGAGGGAUGCGGAAUUCCAGGUGUAGCGGUGAAAUGCGUAGAUAUCUGGAGGAACACCGGUGGCGAAGGCGGCAUCCUGGACCGAUACUGACGCUGAGGAGCGAAAGCCAGGGGAGCAAACGGGAUUAGAUACCCCGGUAGUCCUGGCCCUAAACGAUGAAUGCUUGGUGUGGCGGGUAUCGAUCCCUGCCGUGCCGAAGCUAACGCAUUAAGCAUUCCGCCUGGGGAGUACGGUCGCAAGGCUGAA
rnacentral:rRNA from 1 species